AGAACGAACGCUGGCGGCAGGCCUAACACAUGCAAGUCGAACGAGAAGCCACCUUCGGGUGGUGGACAGUGGCAGACGGGUGAGUAACGCGUGGGAACGUGCCUUUCGGUUCGGGAUAACCCAGGGAAACUUGGGCUAAUACCGGAUACGCCCUUCGGGGGAAAGAUUCAUUGCUGAAGGAUCGGCCCGCGUCGGAUUAGCUAGUUGGUGGGGUAAUGGCCCACCAAGGCGACGAUCCGUAGCUGGUCUGAGAGGAUGAUCAGCCACACUGGGACUGAGACACGGCCCAGACUCCUACGGGAGGCAGCAGUGGGGAAUAUUGGUCAAUGGGCGCAAGCCUGAACCAGCCAUGCCGCGUGAGUGAAGAAGGCCUUAGGGUUGUAAAGCUCUUUCAGCGGGGACGAUAAUGACGGUACCCGCAGAAGAAGCCCCGGCUAACUUCGUGCCAGCAGCCGC
rnacentral:rRNA from 1 species